rnacentral:tRNA from 1 species
UGCCCCUUGGUGUAGUUGGAAACACACCAGACUUUGACUCUGGUAUCUCAGGUUCGAAUCCUGAAGGGGUAGCCA